UAGGGAAUCUUCGGCAAUGGGGGGAACCCUGACCGAGCAACGCCGCGUGAGUGAAGAAGGUUUUCGGAUCGUAAAGCUCUGUUGUUAAGGAAGAACGAGUGUGAGAAUGGAAAGUUCAUGCUGUGACGGUACUUAACCAGAAAGGGACGGCUAACUACGUGCCAGCAGCCGCGGUAAUACGUAGGUCCCGAGCGUUGUCCGGAUUUAUUGGGCGUAAAGCGAGCGCAGGCGGUUAGAAAAGUCUGAAGUGAAAGGCAGUGGCUCAACCAUUGUAGGCUUUGGAAACUGUUUAACUUGAGUGCAGGAGGGGAGAGUGGAAUUCCAUGUGUAGCGGUGAAAUGCGUAGAUAUAUGGAGGAACACCGGUGGCGAAAGCGGCUCUCUGGUCUGUAACAGACGCUGAGGCUCGAAAGCGUGGGGAGAGAACAGG
rnacentral:rRNA from 1 species